UGUUUCAACAUCGUUUAGCAUUUAAAGUCGCUUUGUAAAGCGUUCGUGCUGUUCAAAAGCAUAUCAGUUUGCAACUUCAAAUGAGAAAUGCGUCUUUGGAACACUACUUUAUCAACCUUUACAAAGUUUAUUUUAAACAAUUCUGCUUUCGUUUGUUUCAACCAAGUCACUAAUAAUGGCUGCUGUAAGGAAACCGUUCGAAAAGCCCAGAAAGCACGCUGAUGAGAUCACAGUAAGAUGUGAAAACUGCGAAGAAAAUAUGUACGCGUCUAAAACAUUUCUUGAGCAUAUUUCACACGUGUUUUUAGCGAUGUUUCAAAGUGAUUUCAAAGAAGCCAACACAUCAGAACUGGAAAUAAAAGACAUCAGCAGGGGAUAUUUUCUGGAAUUCUUUCUUUGCUGUAAUUCAGGGACUAUGAAAAAUAUUAUAAGACUCAUCAUCAACACCAGCACCACCAGUGCAAUUACCACCAUCAUCACCGACGUCACCAGCGCUAUUACCACCAACGCUAUAACCACCAUCAACACCAGCGCCACCAGCGAUAUUACCACCAUCAACGCAAGCACCAACACCUGUCGAAGCUAGUGCGCCGGCAGAAGCAUCGCAUUUCGAAUUGAUUUCGGAUGAUGAAUCUGCAGAGAUGUUCUAUGCAUAUGCGAUUCUACAAUGAAAAUGAAUAUUGAUAGACAGAAGGAAC